AGAGUUUGAUCAUGGCUCAGGAUGAACGCUAGCGGCAGGCCUAAUACAUGCAAGUCGAACGGAAGUAGCAAUACUUUAGUGGCGCACGGGUGCGUAACGCGUAUGCAACCUACCUUUCAGUGGGGGAUAGCCCGGGGAAACCCGGAUUAAUACCGCAUAAGAUAGUUGAAUGGCAUCAUUUAAUUAUGAAACAUUUAUGGCUGAAAGAUGGGCAUGCGUAAGAUUAGCUAGUUGGUGAGGUAGAGGCUCACCAAGGCGAUGAUCUUUAGGGGUUCUGAGAGGAAGAUCCCCCACACUGGUACUGAGAUACGGACCAGACUCCUACGGGAGGCAGCAGUAGGGAAUAUUGGGCAAUGCUCGCAAGAGUGACCCAGCCAUGCCGCGUGCAGGAAGAAGGCCUUCUGGGUUGUAAACUGCUUUUGGAAGGGAACAAAAUGACACUGCGGUGUAACUUGAGUGUACCUUCAGAAUAAGCACCGGCUAACUCCGUGCCAGCAGCCGCGGUAAUACGGAGGGUGCAAGCGUUGUCCGGAUUUAUUGGGUUUAAAGGGUGCGUAGGCGGCUUAUUAAGUCAGGGGUGAAAGACUGCAGCUCAACUGUAGCAGUGCCUUUGAUACUGAUGAGCUUGAGUACAGAUGAGGCAGGCGGAAUGGGUGGUGUAGCGGUGAAAUGCAUAGAUACCAUCCAGAACACCGAUUGCGAAGGCAGCCUGCUAAACUGUAACUGACGCUGAGGCACGAAAGCGUGGGGAUCGAACAGGAUUAGAUACCCCCGUAGUCC
rnacentral:rRNA from 1 species